GAUGAACGCUGGCGGCGUGCCUAAUACAUGCAAGUCGAGCGAACAGAUGAGGAGCUUGCUCCUCUGACGUUAGCGGCGGACGGGUGAGUAACACGUGGAUAACCUACCUAUAAGACUGGGAUAACUUCGGGAAACCGGAGCUAAUACCGGAUAAUAUAUUGAACCGCAUGGUUCAAUAGUGAAAGACGGUUUUGCUGUCACUUAUAGAUGGAUCCGCGCCGCAUUAGCUAGUUGGUAAGGUAACGGCUUACCAAGGGAACGAUGCGUAGCCGACCUGUGAGGGUGGUCGGCCACACUGGAACUGAGACACGGUCCAGACUCCUACGGGAGGCAGCAGUAGGGAAUCUUCCGCAAUGGGCGAAAGCCUGACGGAGCAACGCCGCGUGAGUGAUGAAGGUCUUCGGAUCGUAAAACUCUGUUAUUAGGGAAGAACAAAUGUGUAAGGAACUAUGCACGUCUUGACGGUACCUAAUCAGAAAGCCACGGCUAACUACGUG
rnacentral:rRNA from 1 species